CGCGAAAAAGAUGUUAACCGAAGACUCGGCCGAAGUCAAUUAGUCCCAGCACCCGAGUGAUCUUCACCGGAUCGUUGAUACCUCGACGAAGAAGGCGAACGGAUUUGUGCCACGGUGACUGCAUUCUUGAGCGGAUAAAAACGGGGCAAAAGAAUAAAGCUUGAGAAACCUCUCGUUCUCGGAUCGUUACGAGCACUGGCAGUAUGAGUGCCAGUGCAGUUCAUGUUGCACCCGACUACGUCGUGGCGCCUGAUCGACGCUCGAGUCCCAGCUUCGUUCGAUUCUACAUGUGAUGUAUGGGACAUCAACGAAGGACAUCCAAGGUUCAGCCGUUGGGAGCGGGGUUGAAAUUCCGAAUUUGACAAGUUCCGAAAACGCCACAAUCCGAAUUUUGUAGUGGCGAAACUCAAAGUAAAGAAAUCAAACUUUGACGAAACAUCCAAGUUUUGAAUGGUCCGAAACCCGACGCUCAAAAUUCAGAAAAUGCAAAGGUUCGAAAAGGCGCAACUCCGACAAGUCAAAGUUCCGAAAGUGCGAAAAUGAGAAAAUUUAAAAAUCUGAAACAUUGAAAUUCCGAACGAUCGAAGAUAUUCAGUUCUGUAAAUAUCUUUUUAGGUGAAAUUUCACCACCUUCAUCUUCUUUUGUUUUGGGAUUUUCGAUAUUUUCACGUUCGGAAUUCUGUUCGUUCCGAUUUUCCGUUUUUCUGAUGUUUUACACAGACUCGUUGAGUAAACUACGCUGUCUGGGUAUAUUUUAAUUUUCCGUAUUUUACUCUAUCGAAUCUUGAAUUUUCGGAAUCUCACAUUUCGGAACUUUGAGCCGUCGGGUUCCCGACCACUCGAAACUGUGUUGUAUCGUAAAAGUUUGAUUUCUCCACUUCAUGUUUCGCCACCAAAUAAUUCAGAACUUUUCAAAUUCGGUUCUUCGACCCCGCCCGAGCCGCUGCAAGUAACCUCACACGAACAAUCCACGAAAACAUUGUUAUGAUAUCUUAAAAGAAAGCUUGGACACGUGCGUUCACUGCUGUAUAUCAACAGCCGAUCAAUUAUGUAACGAUACAAGAAAAUGUACGAUACCGACUUCGCUAGUUGCGUGGGAGAAAUUAAUCUUCAGCCUGUCAAAAAUUAAAAGUGUUGCAACUUUUGAUCAGCAAUAUAUGAUUGAUGUUAUUUCAUUCGUAAGUCGUAUAGAAACUAAUAUGUUCAUGUAUCAGAGUAUUUGAAUACAAAAAGUUGAAAACGCGUUUGUGGAAAUAAAUUAGAUAGUAAAUUUCGAACUCGUAUAGUAUAUAAUGCACAUAAUAUUAACA
rnacentral:lncRNA from 1 species